UGUUGUCAUCCUCGCUGUCCUCCUGAGUCCUCAGCCUGCAGACUUUACCCUCUUUCUUGAAGUCUUUGGGCCGCUUAUCCAGAGUGUGCUUGGACAGAGUUUCUCUGAGUGGACAUGAAAGAAAAUGGCAUGACACAGUAUCUAUGUCUCCAGAGCUGCAGGAUCCAGAUCUGCCACUACUACUCAACUAUUAUCAUCAUCAUUGUUAAUUUUAUUGAUGUUAUUAAUAAUUGGUGCUACUAUCAUUGCUGCUGUAAUUACUGAUAAUACCAUUACACCAUCAAGUACCACUAUUAUCAUUAUCAUCACUGUAACAACCACUAUGACAGCGCUUGAAUACAACAUCAUAUUGUAUAUAGCUGUUCCUGGUCUCCCUCUCUCUUCUCCUAUACCCCAUUUCUCUCCUCUCAACCCAAAUGGUCAAGGCAGAUGACCGCCAAUCCUGAGUCUGGUUCUGUCAUGUGUCAGGAGGUUUCUUCCAGUUAAAAGGGAGUUUUUCCUCUCCACUGUUGCCAGGCGCUGCUCACUAUGGGUUUUGGGUUUCACUCAAUAACAUUGUAUGGUAAAGUGAUUUGAGAUCAACAUAUGGCGCUAUAUAAAUAAAACUGAAUUGAGCUGAGAUUA